rnacentral:tRNA from 1 species
CAAGAAGUAGUUUAAUUAGAAUAUCAGCUUUGGGUGCUGAUGGUAGGGUGAUCUAGCCUUCUUCUUGA